CCGACCGCGACCCCAGGUCAGGCGGGACUACCCGCUGAAUUUAAGCAUAUCAAUAAGCGGAGGA
rnacentral:rRNA from 3 species